UGAGUAACGCGUAGAUAAUCUACCCUCCAAUCUGGGACAACUUUUCGAAAGAGAAGCUAAUACCGGAUAAUAUCUUUUGUCUAGUGGCAGAAGAUUGAAAGAUUUAUCGUUGGAGGAUGAGUUUGCGUACCAUUAGCUUGCUGGUGAGGUAACGGCUCACCAAGGCUACGAUGGUUAGCGGGUCUGAGAGGAUGAUCAGCCACACUGGGACUGAGACACGGCCCAGACUCC
rnacentral:rRNA from 1 species